rnacentral:lncRNA from 1 species
AACAUAUUUUUAUACCAUAUUUUUAUACCAUAGUUUACUAAUUUUUAUUUUAAUUUUUUUUUUUGUAAGUCAUAAAAUAUAAAUGGAUAUAAAACUGUUACAUAUAUAUAUAUAUAUAUAUAUAUAAAAGAAAAAUGCAAGUUUAUUCACUCUACAUGUAAACAUAUAUACAGAGAUAUAUACAUAUAUUAAUGUCACCUACUUAAAAAAAAAAAAAAAAAACAAUGCUCUAUUCUCAUUUUGACCCAACGCUGUUUUUAUUUAUUUUUUAUUUUUUUAUUUUUUUUUAAAUUAGCUAACAGAAAAGAUAGAAAAAAACAUGAUUAUACAAGUAAUGAAAUGAGAAGUAGGAAGAACAUAUGUUCGGCAACAUUUAAUCCUGAUUAUACAAAAAAAAAAAAAAUAAAGGACUAUUAAAGAGGAGAGUUAACAUAUAUUAUAUUAACAUAUAUAUUAAUAAUAUAUGUAUGUAUAUAUAUGCAUAUAUUCCCCUAAAUUGUAACUCUGUUGUUGAUCAUAAAAACGAAAGUAGCAAGAUUUUAGAAUGUAUAGAACUAAAUGAUCAUAAUUAUAACACUUUAAUAAAAAAAGAAAAGUGCUAUUUAAUUUACGGAUAUGCUGAUUAUUCAUAUAGAAGUUUAUCAAUAUAUACAAAAUUACUUUCUAUCGAUUUUCCAAAAAAAAUAAUUAAUAAAGGUGCAGAUGAUUAUAAAAAAAUACCAUUAUAUAAAGUCAAUAUAAAUAAUAAUAAUUUAUUAGUUCAAAACUUUCAUAUCAAAUCUAUUCCUUUAAUACAAUUAAGAUAUAAAAAUAAAUUAGUGGAUGAGUUAUCAGGAGAUGAGUUAAAUAAUGAAAAAAAUAUAAAAAAUAUAUUAAAAAGAUGUUAUAACAAUUAUUUCCAUUCGUUGCAAAUUGUUGAUAAUAUAAAUGACUUUCUAAAUAGAGAACAUGAACUUUUAAACGAUCAAGAUAUACAAAAUGUUGAAAAAAGGGACAUUGCUUUGAGGGAAAAUGAGGUUCUAUUUGAUACACUUAUAAAUAGGAACGACAGUGACAGCAAAAAUAUUUACGAUAAUAAAACCGAUAUAAAUCAAAACUUUGUUCAGAACGAACUACUAAACAAACUCGAACUAAAAUACCAAUGUUCCACUUAUGUUACUUUUAAAAAACUAGAAAUGUUAUUAAACGAAGAAAAAGAAAGAAAAAAAAAAUUAUACAUGUUGAAUGACAAUAACGAUACAUUACAAACACAUCACAGUAGUCAUGAUAAUGUAAAUCAAACAGACUCAUGCGAUAAAAAUAAAAACACAAUCUUAAUAAAAUCCUUUUUAAAUGAAAUAAUUAAUAACAAUAAAACAUACUUAGAUAUAAACCAUCAUUAUAAUAAAAUAACAGCACAAGCUUUUCUUUUUUUAUUUGACCAAGAAGAACUAUCAUCAAUCGAAAAAGUAUUAACUCUUAUAAAUUUUGUAAAAAAUUAUAAUGAAAAUUGGAUAAAUACAGAAAAUAUUAAAUUUAUACAUUUUAAUGAACCUAUUAUUGUAUUUGAUGAUUUUAAAAAUAUACAUUUGAAAGGAUUUAAUAAUAUUGAUCAGUUUUUAUCACAAAAAGAGACAGUAGAUGAAGCUGGUUGUCAAGACUCACUACCACACACAAUUACACAAGAACAUUCAACAGAAAUUACAAAUUCAGACAAUAAUAACACAAUCUCAAACACACAAAUAAAAUAUUUAAGUAGAUUAUAUAGAAUAUUAUCAGUAAAGUAUUUAUUUAUUGAAGAUUAUCCAAAAUCAUUGCAUUAUGCAUUGUUGUCAUAUAAGGACACAUUUUUUUUGAAUAAUAUAGAUAGUAAAAAAUCGAAAGUGUUAAUUGAAAAUAUGAUUCUGUACUUAGGUGCAUAUAACAAAUACGUAAUCAAAUUUAUCAGUCAAUUACAAUUAUUAUUUAAUAAUAAAAUUUUUAAAAAAAUUCAAUUACCUCAUAAUAGAACUGUUAAAGGAGGAAGACCAAUGAUAAAGAGAGGAAAGUCAGGGAAAUGGUUAUGGUUAAGUCCGGAUUGGAAACCAAAAUGGUUAAAGAAGAAAACGAAGCUAACUUUAGAGGAUGAGUGGAGGUGUGUUCCUGACAAAAAUGUCCCUUUUUGGAAUUAAAAUAAAAAAAUAAGAAAAUAAAAACA